CAAAAGUUCAACGGCCGCGGUAUCCUAACCGUGCAAAGGUAGCAUAAUCACUUGCCUAUUAAUUGUAGGCUAGAAUGAAUGGAUAAACGAAAUAAAGACUGUCUCAAUCAGUCACCUAAAAAUUAUUAUCUAUAUGAAGAAAUAUAGAUAAAGUCGAAGGACAAGAAGACCCUAUAGAGCUUUAUUUAAAAUAUAAACUAAUAUUAUAUAAAAAUUCGGUUGGGGCGACCAAGGGAACACUUAUCACCCUAAAAGAAAAAGAUAUAUAAAUCUAAGUAAUGACCCUUAAAAGAUCACAAAACCAAGCUACCUUAGGGAUAACAGGCUAAUCCCAUUCAAGAGUCCAUAUCAACAAUGGGGUUUGGCACCUCGAUGUUGGCUUAGGGUAUCAAUAUAGCGCAAAAGUUAUAUUAUGAUGGUUUGUUCAACCAAUAAUUCCCU
rnacentral:rRNA from 1 species